rnacentral:lncRNA from 1 species
UUCUUCUCGUCUGUCGCCAUGUGAGAUGUACCUUUCACUUUCCUCCAUGAUUGUGAGGCCUCCUUAGCCACAUGGAACUUAUUUAAGUCAACAGAUGGAAGAGUGUCAUGGAAGCGUGCCUGUGAGGAAGAAACUGGAGCAAAAAAGAUGGAAACCCCAGCAAGGACGAUGAGAAAUGCUGGAGUCCUUCAUCCGAAUGGUAAAUGGCACUUGUGACAAAAAUCAAAGUAACUAAAAAAGAAUCUGGUUGAAACCUCAGUAACAGUUGGCCUGUCUACUGCCUCACACUAACAAGGGGGAGCUAAUAAAACCGAGGUUAGAACACACAAUGUGGAAAUGAAAACCUUAUUCUUGUCAAUGGAUGGAGGGUGGUGACCCCCACCUUUACAAGUGUCUGUAAUUCUCACUAGCAGUAUAUUAGAGGGCAAAAGAUUUGAACAGACACAUCAGAAAAGAAGACAUACAAAUGGCCGCUAAGCACUUGAAAGGAUUCUGAACACCAUUAGUCAUCAGUGAAAUGCAAAUUAAAGCCAUAAUGAAUGGCGCUAUACAUUUUCAGAAUGGCAAGGAUUGAAGACCGAAAAAAAUCAAGCGUUGAGGAGAGUGACAAAUGGGGAGACAGCCGUGGUGCAUGAUCGCCGAAUAAAUACCAUGUGAGGAUACAGCAAGAAGGUGGCCAUCUACAAGCCAAGGAGACAGGCCUCAGAAGAAACCAACCCUUCUUACACCCUGGACUCAGACUUCUAAUCUCCAGAACUUGUUAAUGCACAAGGUCUUGUGUUGAAAAUGUAGAGCCACGAGAUAAAAGCAGCUUGGAUGGCUGACUCAUAUACAAGGACAACUGCCUGAGAGUCACCAGGGCUAUCAAGAAGUUUGCAGAAACAAGAAAUAAACUUUUACUGUUUUAAACUUUUGUGAAUUUUGGGUUUUGUUUAUCACCAAAUAAACCUAGUCUAUUCUGAU